AGAGUUUGAUCCUGGCUCAGAGUGAACGCUGGCGGCGUGCUUAACACAUGCAAGUCGAACGAGAACAGAAGAGAGCUUGCUCUCUUGCUGCUAAGUGGCGCACGGGUGAGUAAUAUAUAGGUAAUAUGCCUCUUACUAAGGGAUAAUUGUUGGAAACGACUUGUAAUACCUUAUAUGCCUUUUGAACAUAAGUUCGUAAAGGGAAAGAUUUAUCGGUAAGAGAUUAGCCUGUACGGUAUCAGAUAGUUGGUGGGGUAAUGGCCUACCAAGUCUAUGACACCUAACUGGUUUGAGAGGAUGAUCAGUCACACUGGAACUGAGACACGGUCCAGACUCCCACGGGAGGCAGCAGUGGGGAAUAUUGCACAAUGGACGAAAGUCUGAUGCAGCAACGCCGCGUGGAGGAUGACACAUUUCGGUGCGUAAACUCCUUUUAUAUGAGAAGAUAAUGACGGUAUCAUAUGAAUAAGCACCGGCUAACUCCGUGCCAGCAGCCGCGGUAAUACGGGGGGUGCAAGCGUUACUCGGAAUCACUGGGCGUAAAGAGCAUGUAGGCGGGUGAAUAAGUUGGAAGUGAAAUCCUAUAGCUUAACUAUAGAACUGCUUCCAAAACUGUUCACCUAGAGUAUGGGAGAGGUAGAUGGAAUUUCUGGUGUAGGGGUAAAAUCCGUAGAGAUCAGAAGGAAUACCGAUUGCGAAGGCGAUCUACUGGAACAUUACUGACGCUCAGAUGCGAAAGCGUGGGGAGCAAACAGGAUUAGAUACCCUGGUAGUCCCCGCCCUAAACGAUGUACACUAGUUGUUGCUAUACUAGAUAUGGCAGUAAUGCAGU
rnacentral:rRNA from 1 species